rnacentral:rRNA from 1 species
GAUGAACGCUGGCGGCGUGCCUAAUACAUGCAAGUCGAGCGGUAAGGCCCCUUCGGGGGUACACGAGCGGCGGACGGCUGAGUAACGCGUAGGAACGUACCCCAAAGUGAGGGAUAAGCACCAGAAAUGGUGUCUAAUACCGCAUGUGGUCUUCGGAUUAAAGCUUUAUGCGCUUUGGGAACGGCCUGCGUUCGAUUAGCUUGUUGGUGAGGUAAUAGCUCACCAAGGCGAUGAUCGAUAGCUGGUCUGAGAGGAUGAUCAGCCAGACUGGAACUGAGACACGGUCCAGACUCCUACGGGAGGCAGCAGUAGGGAAUUUUCCACAAUGGACGAAAGUCUGAUGGAGCAACGCCGCGUGCAGGAUGAAGGCCUUCGGGUUGUAAACUGCUUUUGUGAGUGAAGACUUCCGACGGUAACUCACGAAUAAGGGUCGGCUAACUACGUG